ACUUCAACUUCACAUGGAUCAGCCAUCUCACACUCCCUCUUUCUCUGUUCAACCAACCUCCACCACAACCACCUUAUCCCAGUCACCAACACCGUAACCACCGUAUCCCACCUUUCAACUCAAUCAUAAACGUCUCAUAGCCAGUCAUCUGAAGCCUCCUGAAGCCACUCAUUGUCGCCGGACAUCACUGCCACCGAUUGUUUUUCCGGCGGUGGUGAUUUGAGUGUGGUUGUCGGCCGCCGCCACUCACCUGAAGCCUGCCACUGCCACAUGUCAUUUUUCCGAUUCACCGUCGCGCAGAUCCAAAAUCCGAAACCUAACAGAGAGAGGGAGACAAUGACCGAUGGUAGGUUCAACGAAUUGAAGACUUGGAGAUUAAGUGUUCAACAAAUUGUCAGAUCUGUGUUGUGAUGAGUUGGCGAUGGUUGUUAAUGGUGGUUUGGUGGUGGCUUGUGGUGUCGGAUAUUCUCGUAACUUUUCAAUUCAAUAUAUAUCACUUAUAUGAUAUUUUAUAAAUUUACCGUGAACUUUUACAGUGAUUUAGUAAUUAGAGAAAUUAGAGAUGGAUAAUAUCACCAUGUCCAAAUUUAUAAAUUCAGAUUAUUUUGACUAGCUCGGAAAACUUCUAAAAGAGUUCUUAUUCUGCAUUUGGGGAUUCUUUUUAGUUCUACAGAUUUGAGAGAGAGAAUAUAUUAAAAUGUGUGUUUGUUUAUUAUUUUUUUUAUUAAAUGGGUAAAAGGACAAUUAUACCCUCAAUUGCAACACACAUAACUAGAUUUAAUAACCAUGAAAAGUAACCAGGUUAGUGCUAAAGGACGAAAGAUGUAAUGGGUUUUCCAAACAAAGGACUGUGACUGUAAUUAUUGAAGUUAAAGGACAUCCAUGGCAAACCGUUACAAACAUAAAGGACGAAAAGUGUAAUUUACCAUUUAUGAUUAAUGUUAUUGAAUUUGUAUAGUUUUUAGUUUUAUUUGCUUUUGUAUAGAAUAAAACUAGAAAAA
rnacentral:lncRNA from 1 species